UUUUUGGUGGCCGAGCUAGGCAGUAGAUUUUUAAUCUAUCCACGGGCAGUGGCCCCCUUGCGU
rnacentral:tRNA from 1 species